ensembl:lncRNA
AUGACAUCUUCAAGUCAGCCUGAUAACAAAAGCAGGGGUAGUCCGGUCAACAACAACAGAGACAACAAUAACACAGCAGAGUCAGUUUGCACAGGUAAUAUGAACCUUUUUAUGAGGGCACAGGGAGGAACUCGCCAUCUCGGACAAAGAAAUGCUGGGAAUUCACCUGACCGUGAUUUGCACAGGUCUGUCAAGGACCAGUAUAGCUCAAAUGUAAACAACAGAGAAUACCCAAAGCCGCCCAGUGUGCCAGAUGUUUUGUCUAGUUCUAAAAUUAGCAGAGCUACAGCACAAACAACACUGAGUCAACCUAAAGAUCCAGGCAAAUAUGAUUUAACCGAUAGUUCAUAUACAGCAAAUAUGUCUGAGUUACCAUCUGCUUUGCAAAAUCCUAGGAGCUCAGAUACACCCACAGAGACCAGCAGCAAGUACAAAAAUAAUUAUUUUCCACCCAAACCCAACAACACCCCCAUGCCUCCUCACAGCGUAGACUCACAGAGGUUUACCAGCACACCGCUCUCUCUUGAUUUCACCAGUACUGUCAAUGGUAAAGUUCAUACAUCUCAAAAUACCUCUGGUCCCCAAACCUCAAAAAUGAAAAGUAGUCCUUCCUACCACUCUCAGUCAGUUCCUUCUCAGACCAAUAUUCAUACCUCGGCAUAUACAACCUCCACUGGCUCUUUGUCCCAGAAAACAAAAUUUACCAACAAUUCCUCUGCCACACCUCUUGGAUUUGAAAGAAGUUAUGCUUCCAUUCCUAAACCUUUCCACCCUAAAACUGUGUCCAGCCUGAUUUCCACAGUCAGUUCUGUCUCCAAAAAAGAUUAUAGCGCCACUGCUUCCAACUCCUCUUCCUUUGACACUGGCAGCCACCCUGCAGCCACCACUGCCUCAAGUUCUUCCCUUCUCAGUCCUGCUGUCACCUCCGCCAUUACCUCUCCUACCUCUGCCACUGUCUCCGCUCUCCUAACGCCUCCUGCAACCCCAGUUAUUACCAACCCCACUUCAGAAACUUCAAGCCCUAAAAAAGAAGGGAAAUUUUCCAGCAGCUCAGAGAAAGAGCCAAUGAAACUUGAGAAAAAGAAAGUGAGAAGAGUGACAUGGGAUGACUCGGUGGAUCUGCAACAGUCAGAGUCCACCGCUGUGGAGAAGCCAGAGUCGUCAGAAGUCCAAGCGACCCCUCAAGCCACAUCUAAGUACCUGCGAAAUGCUCCAUCCAUCUUCUCCUUUCUGAGAUCGAGCAGUUCAACAAGUUCUUCUGUUUCUCCCCCUAAACCCAAGACCUCCAGCAUUGAGGUGGAGAAACCAGGAAAGUAUAGAUCCUUAUCAUCUGACUCGGCUGAUUUAGCAUUCAGGGAGUUUGAGCGAAACAAGCAAAGAGCUGGUGAUACAAUGAUUUUUAACCAGGGAAGACAGGACUUGCCCACACCAAGGCAUGAAAGGACACUAUCAGUGGAAUCUGGCACAGUUCAGUGCCGUACUUCAGCUCCUCUCUCCCUCCCUCCUGACUUUUCAAGUGGCUAUAAGGUUCGUUAUAGCUCUCCUCCUUACUCCACGCUCAUGUCUGCAAGGAUGACACAAGGGGAGACAAAUACGAGAACAACCAGACCAACCCUCUUCUCACAACCCUCCCAGUCAAAUUACACCCCAAAUCUCUCUGUAAAUACUGACCCAGUUUCAGUCAUGACCUUAUCCACAUCCAAACCUCCUAUGUCUCCUCCCAGACCCUCCCUUUCCCUGUCCUUACCCCUCCAAAAGAAACCUCCCAAACAAGAAAGUCCAAAUGUUGAGGUUUCAGAAACUGAUCGAGCAAGCAACAAUAACAGCGGAGAUAAAGGCCAAGAGCGAAAGCUAUUACUUGUAGACAACAGAAUUCACAUCAGACCUCCUUCCCUGCAAGGUGAUAAGGCAGACAGCUCGACAUACGUAACUGAGACACUGGUUUACAGCCUUAAAUCCAAAGUAGAUGCAUCGACAGCCACAAAAAAAACCACACCUAAUGCUUUACAGCAUACCAAUAACACGCCGGUUUCCGUGGAGACCAAGUUUAGUCAACAAUCGCUGACAGGCCAGAGUAAGGGAGCAGCAGGUGAACCAUGUCGUCAUUCAGGUCAGAGCUCCAGCAGCAGCAGCUCAACAGAGAGUCAGUCCCGGGAGACAGAAGACUCCAGCAAAAGCAUGAAGGAGACUAUAAUGGGGAAAAGCAGGUUUUUCUCAGUAGACGUUAAUAAUGAACAAAACACAAAGAGAAGCCGAUUUGCACUGAAGAAGAGCGUCAGUACACCAAACUCCAGUUUGACGAGGUCAGAGUCAGACAGGGCCAAGAGUAACAACAAAGUGGAUCAAGUCUUUAGCAAACUAAAGCAAAAAUUAAGCACUAGAUGGUCAACCUCACAAGCACCUUCUGUUAGCGGAUCAAGCGAUGUGAGCGAUGUGAGUGUUGAGAGUAGCAAAAUUCCAGAGGAAACAGUGCCAGAGAAAGUAAUGGUGCUGAACGACAAUCUGGACACACAGGCUUCGAACAGGUGGACGCAAGAUAGAUACAUUCUGAUACCGUCCUCGGCUGCUGGAAACACAAAAGUUGGAAAUCAGCGCUCCAGCUGGACCGAAAAAUCAUCUCUAGAAACGGACCAUGACAUGCAAAAUGCUUGUGCAGAACAAAUUUCUGAAAAGAAAGCCCCAGUUUAUCUGACAGUCCACGGUCCAACAGUUGACCAGUUAGACCUUGAACAAGACCAAGUAGAUUAUAAAGCAACAAGCCUCUCUUCCAGAGAUCCAAGUCCCAGUAGAAGUCCCGCUUUUCCAGCUUCAUUCAGGAGGUCCACACCUAGCCCCAGGAGCCCAUUCUCUCCCUUCUCCUCUCUUUCACCAAUGUCCCCACUUUCCUCGUCUGAUGUAACAGACGACAGCGUCUUCUACAGCCCAAAGCUGCACCGCCGCAGAGAAUCCUCCUCUCCGUGUGAGCACGGAGAAGGGAUCAGCUUGGGAGUUCCGAGAAAAAGCCGGGCAUCCGUAGGUCCUCCAUGUGUGAGCCCAGGACAUGACAAUGAAAACUUGGCAUCCUCUUAUGCAGACUUAAAGUAUGGCAUUGAGCCUGGGAAGUCCUUUUCUGUGAGUUCUGUUCUCUCCAGUCGACCCUCUGGACCGGGACGUAUUUCCACAGGAUCCAGAUUCAUGAGUGUGGGUGACCUCUCUCAGUCUGCCUUCUCUUGUGGAGAAAAUAGUGGAGAUUUUGAUCAGUGGUCUGUCAAAUCUGAUUGGAGCACAGUGUAUGACUUCCAGGCUUCUGAGGAUGGUCGAAAAUCAUAUUUCCCAAGUGAUCCAGGUAAAAUGCGAUCAAGAUCUUUGCCUCGAUCGCUGACCAGGUGCUUGGCAAACUGGAGCUCUGGAGACUCUCCUCAACAUGUAAAUGCUACAGCUUCCAAGCCUGCUCACCUCCGGAGCCCAAACAUGAACAUUUGCCAGUUUUUGUGGGAUGCAGAGGCCCCGCCCACCCCUCCUCCAACACCUCCUCUGUCACCAGUGUCCAGGCGCAUGUCCAAACCACCCAGCCUUUCCUCUCCUACCUUUCCUAGCUCGCCAGGAGUACUACAGCCGGGGGACAGCCAGUCCAGGGGGCAUUUGCCCUCCAGAGGUUAUGUAUCCAGCCUUAGCACCUUUGAUGAGUCAUCAGACAGCAGCUCGGACACAACAACUGAUGACGAAUACUACUUAGAAACAGAUGAUGAGGGAGAAAAAGAGACAGAACUGUAA